UAAAUAAAUUAGGGAAACCCUGCUGUAGUAAUGGGCUAAGUAGCUAAUGAGGUAUUUGUUUGCUCCAUCAAUCUUCUAAGUCAAAAGCCUUAGCUUCAAGAGUGAUUUCUUUUUAAAUUGUGACAUGAUUGACUACUAAGUAAUUCAGUGUAUGCUCCAUUGUGAUUAUCAAGUCAAAGAAUUUUGUGACAUGCUAAUUCC
rnacentral:lncRNA from 1 species